AGAGUUUGAUCCUGGCUCAGGAUGAACGCUGGCGGCGUGCUUAACACAUGCAAGUCGAACGAGAGAAGAUCGGUGCUUGCACUGAUCCGAUCGAGUGGCGGACGGGUGAGUAACGCGUGGGUAACCUGCCUCAUACAGGGGAAUAACAGUUGGAAACGGCUGCUAAAACCGCAUAAGCGCACAGUAUCGCAUGAUACAGUGUGAAAACUCCGGUGGUAUGAGAUGGACCCGCGUCUGAUUAGCUAGUUGGUGAGGUAACGGCCACCAAGGCAACGAUCAGUAGCCGGCCUGAGAGGGUGAACGGCCACGAUUGGGACUGAGACCACGGCCCAAACUCCUACGGGAGGCA
rnacentral:rRNA from 1 species